GCGUUGGUGGUGCAAUGGCGUAGAGCAUUCCCGCCCGGUCAGCAGGGGUGCGGGUUCGAGUCCCGCCUGGCGCA
rfam:Heligmosomoides polygyrus genome assembly, scaffold: HPBE_scaffold0000220